UACGGAGGAUGCAAGCGUUAUCCGGAUUCAUUGGGUUUAAAGGGUGCGUAGGCGGACUAUUAAGUCAGUGGUGAAAUCCUGCAGCUUAACUGCAGAACUGCCGUUGAUACUGAUAGUCUUGAGUUUGGUUAAGGUAGGCGGAAUGUGUAAUGUAGCGGUGAAAUGCUUAGAUAUUACACAGAACACCAAUUGCGUAGGCAGCUUACUGAGCUAUUACUGACGCUGAUGCACGAAAGCGUUGGGAUCAAACA
rnacentral:rRNA from 1 species